UACGGGGGGAGCAAGCGUUGUUCGGAUUUACUGGGCGUAAAGGGCGCGUAGGCGGCGCAACAAGUCACUUGUGAAAUCUCCGGGCUUAACCCGGAGCGGUCAAGUGAUACUGUCGUGCUAGAGUGCGGAAGGGGCUACUGGAAUUCUCGGUGUAGCGGUGAAAUGCGUAGAGAUCAGGAGGAACACCCGGGGCGAAGGCGGCCCUCUGGCUCGACCCUGACGCUGAGGCGCGAAAAGCGGUGGGGAGCGAACGGG
rnacentral:rRNA from 1 species